UCUUGGUCAUUUAGAGGAAGUAAAAGUCGUAACAAGGUUUCCGUAGGUGAACCUGCGGAAGGAUCAUUACCUAGAGUUGUAGGCUUUGCCUGCUAUCUCUUACCCAUGUCUUUUGAGUACCUUACGUUUCCUCGGCGGGUCCGCCCGCCGAUUGGACACUUUAAACCAUUUGCAGUUGCAAUCAGCGUCUGAAAAAACUUAAUAGUUACAACUUUCAACAACGGAUCUCUUGGUUCUGGCAUCGAUGAAGAACGCAGCGAAAUGCGAUAAGUAGUGUGAAUUGCAGAAUUCAGUGAAUCAUCGAAUCUUUGAACGCACAUUGCGCCCCUUGGUAUUCCAUGGGGCAUGCCUGUUCGAGCGUCAUUUGUACCUUCAAGCUUUGCUUGGUGUUGGGUGUUUGUCUCGCCUCUGCGUGUAGACUCGCCUCAAAACAAUUGGCAGCCGGCGUAUUGAUUUCGGAGCGCAGUACAUCUCGCGCUUUGCACUCAUAACGACGACGUCCAAAAGUACAUUUUUACACUCUUGACCUCGGAUCAGGUAGGGAUACCCGCUGAACUUAAG
rnacentral:rRNA from 1 species